rnacentral:lncRNA from 1 species
ACCGUCAACUGCUCAACCAAAAUUAAAACAAAUGUAAACACAAAAGGAAAUAACAAAAAAACCCAUAAACUAAGAACCAAGAACCGAAUACCCUAACCAAAAACCAAAUACCCUAACCACAACAUCAACGAAAGCCGACAACAAGAACGCAACAACGCAACAACCCAAGAACCCAAACCCAAAACCAUAUCAGACCCAACAACGCAGGGGACAACAAAAUGUGAGAGAGAGAACGAAAUCUGUGACAAAAACAGGCAAAUGGUAUAUUUGGAAAGGAAAAUUUUUCAAACUCUUUUCAUUUUGGUGCCCAGAUUU